rnacentral:rRNA from 1 species
UACGGAAGGCAGCAGUGGGGAAUAUUGCACAAUGGGCGAAAGCCUGAUGCAGCUAUGCCGCGUGUAUGAAGAAGGCCUUAGGGUUGUAAAGUACUUUCAUCGGGGAGGAAAAAACAAAACUAAUAAUUUUAUUUCUUGACGUUACCCGAAAAAGAAGCACCGGCUAACUCCGUGCCAGCAGCCGCGGUAAUACGGAGGGUGCUAGCGUUAAUCAGAAUUACUGGGCGUAAAGAGCACGUAGGUGGUUUUUUUAAAGUCAGAUGUGAAAUCCCUGGGCUUAACCUAGGAACUGCAUUUUGAAACUGAAAUACUAGAGUAUCGUAGAGGGAGGUAGAAUUCUAGGUGUAGCGGUGAAAUGCGUAGAUAUCUGGAGGAAUACCUGUGGCGAAAGCGGCCUCCUAAACGAAUACUGACACUGAGGUGCGAAAGCUGGGGAGCAAACAGGGAUUAGAUACCCGU